GGGAGGCAGAAUACUGGACCCCAGCUAAGAACGACUGCUGUGACGUUAUUUCCGGGGGAUUGCGCAACAUCACCACACGAUACAUCAAGGUUUCCGGAUCGAUUGUCCAUUAAGGCAAAAGAUCAUUUAAGUCUACCACAACAGAUGGCGAGCCUAAUGCAGGUGGUUCAAUUUUUCCCUUAAUUUCAGCAGAAUUAAAAGGGGCCAUAUUUUAUUUCGGGCAGCAAAAAGGCCGGCAUUGAGGGUAGACAGCUGACAUGGACCCGGUUACCACAGGGGUCCAUGACUAGCCCAUCGGAAUAUAGUUGCAAGCUAAAGGUGGUAUUAGACCAGUGGGUGCCAGAGGAUCCGGAGGUCGCACUGUUACAAUAUGUGGGCGAUCUAUUACUUUGUUGCCCGGAGAAGGAUUCAUGCUAUAGACACACUAUCUCGCUACUGAACCAUCUGGCAUCCACUGGGAAUAAGGCUAGCAAGGAAAAAUUGCAGUUUUGUAAGGAGAAGGUUAUUUUUCUAGGCCUCUGUAUCUCAAAAGGGACCCAACACCUAAUAACACAACAGAUACAGACUCUCAAAGACUUCACCCGACCUCGUAGUGCCCGACAGUUGAGAGCCCUUCUAGGUCUGAUCAAUUACAGCAGAGAUUGGAUCCCUAAUAUUUUAUUCAGAAUGGGUCCUCUCUAUACUUUCUGUGUUAUUACAGAAAGUUGGUGACAUAGUUUUAGAUUCCCCUCUAACCUUUCUCAUCCCACACUCUGUCCAAGAAAUUCUCAACCAGGUCCAAACCAAACAUCUUUCAGCAGCACGUCUGACCAAAUCUGAAGUGACUCUCCUUACCCCUACUAACCUCACACUGAGACGAUGUACAAUCCUCAAUCCCGCAUCUCUUCUCCCGACCCAUUCUGACUCGGAA